GACCUUUUAUUUUACGAUGAAAUGAAGAAGGAAACUAUAAUGAACAUCACGCAGAAAUUUGCACCUCUAAAUUAAGCCACUUUAAAUUCUACCAAGUCCUCGCAGACUAUCUGUUCAUCAAAUUGAGCUAAUGACGUCAUGGUAACCAUAGCAACAGUAUGUGGACUGCUCGCUAGCACUGCUCACAAAAGAUUUCUAGCAUUGAGGUCUAGUGCGAGUCUGCUCAAAAACUGAUUCAAUUGUGGCGAUAGGCGUCCGAGUGCCGCAUAUUCUUGCUUGCGGCUUUCCAAUGUUUGAUUUUGCCGGAUGAAAAUGAGUAGUGGGCGGUUACAACAUUGAAGCUUAUCAUUUCAGAUCUUUUGAUGUCACUAGCAUAGCUGAAAAAGACGCAGCCGCGAGGUUCCGGGGCCCCGAUGAGCAGACGCGGCUCGGACCCAAGCUAGAGGAGACACUCGUGGCCCCGCCCAAUCAGCAUGGCGACCAUAGACGGUCGCCCGGCCCAGUAUGGGGUCACCCUCAAACAGCUGCGCGAACUCAUGGAGUUCCGCGGCCACGAGGCGCUCGAGCGCAUCAACAGCGAGUUUGGCGGCGUGCUGGAGAUCUGCAAAAAGCUCUACACGUCGCCACAGGAUGGCUUGAGUGGGAGCCCGCAAGAUCUUCAACAUAGGAAAGAGAAUUUCGGGUCAAAUAUCAUCCCUCCGAAGCCGCCAAAGAAGUUCAUAGAGCUGGUGUGGGAGGCUCUGCAGGACACCACACUCAUCAUUUUGAUAAUCGCCGCUAUCGUGUCGUUAGGUCUAUCCUUCUAUCACCCAGCAGAGGAGGAAGAAGGUGACCUGCCCGACUCCUACCGUCCGGACGAUGACGAAGUCGUCCGGUCAGGAGGCACCGACGAAUCGGAGUCGCACGCCAACUGGAUUGAGGGUGUGGCCAUCCUCGUGUCUGUGAUAGUUGUUGUACUAGUCACUGCCUUCAACGAUUGGUCAAAGGAGAAGCAGUUCCGCGGCCUCCAGAGCCGGAUAGAGGGCGAGCACAAAUUUUCCGUUAUCCGGGGAGGCGCUGCGCACGAGAUCAUUGUCGGCGACAUUCUUGUUGGCGACAUCUGUCAGAUCAAAUAUGGCGACCUGCUGCCGGCCGAUGGUAUCCUCAUCCAGGGCAACGACAUCAAGAUCGACGAGUCGUCGCUCACUGGCGAGUCGGACCACGUCAAAAAGGGCGAGAAGUCGGACCCUAUGCUGCUCUCAGGCACCCACGUGAUGGAAGGCAGCGGCAAGAUGCUGGUGACGGCGGUGGGCGUCAACUCUCAGGCCGGCAUCAUCUUCACGCUGCUGGGAGCGGCCGCGGAGGAGGAGCAGAAGGAGGCCAAGAGGCGGCGCAAAGAGCCGUUCCAGCGCGUGGGCCCGUCGGGCAGUGAGCGCAUCCAGAACAUCCUCAACCCGCGCACCAGUAGCGACGACGUCCUGGCCUCGGACGCGGCCGCCGACGGCGCCGCCAGCGUCGAGGAUGGCCUGGGCAACAACCACGCGGCCGCCGCCAAGACGCCGCCGGUCAUCACCACCACCGAACACAACAACGGCCAGGGAGGCGGCGCGGCGGCCGGCGGCGGCGGAGGCGGCGGAGGAGGCGGCGGGGGUGGCGGAGGCGGCGGCGGCGGGAAGGAGAAGUCCGUCCUGCAGGCCAAGCUGACCAAGCUCGCCAUCCAGAUCGGCUACGCUGGCUCCCUCAUGGCCAUCCUGGUGGUGAUUGUGCUCGUGAUGAAGUUCUGCAUCCAGAAGUUCGUCAUCGAAAAGGACGAGUGGAAGCCCAAGUACUUUGGCGUGUUCGUCAAUUUCUUCAUCAUCGGCGUGACGGUGCUGGUGGUGGCGGUGCCCGAGGGUCUGCCGCUGGCCGUGACGCUCUCGCUCGCCUACUCCGUGCGGAAAAUGAUGGACGACAACAACCUAGUGCGUCACCUGGACGCCUGUGAGACGAUGGGAAACGCCACGGCCAUCUGUUCCGACAAGACGGGCACGCUGACCACCAAUCGAAUGACGGCCGUCGAGCUGUACCUGGGCGGGCAGCGCUACAAGCAGAUCCCCAAGUUCGAGCAGCUGCCGCCGCACGUGGCUGAUCUGGUGGUCCACGGCAUCUCCAUCAACAGCGGCUACACGUCCAUGAUUAUCGAGAAAGAGGGUGAAGCGACCAAACAGGUGGGCAACAAGACCGAGUGCGCCCUGCUCGGCCUGGUCGAGCGCCUCGGCAAGAGCUACAAACAGAUUCGCGACGACAAUCCCGAGGAGAGCCUGCACAAGGUGUACACCUUCAACUCGGUGCGCAAAUCGAUGAGCACCGUCGUGAAGACGCCCGACGGCGGCUUCCGGGUGUACACCAAGGGCGCCUCCGAGAUCAUUAUGUCCAGGUGUGCCUUCAUCUACGGCCCCAACGGGCAGCUGGAGAAGUUCACGCCGUCCAUGCAGGAGCGGCUCGUGCGCGAUGUCAUCGAGCCGAUGGCCUGCGACGGCCUGCGCACCAUCGGCGUGGCCUACCGCGACUUUGUGCCCGGCAAGGCCGAGAUCAACCAGGUUCACAUCGAGAACCCGCCCAACUUUGACGACGAGGAGCACAUCAUCAGCAACAUGACGUGUAUGUGCAUCGUGGGCAUCGAGGACCCGGUGCGAGACGAGGUGCCGGCCGCAAUCAAGAGCUGCCAGCGCUCCGGCAUCACGGUGCGCAUGGUGACCGGAGACAACGUGAACACGGCGCGCUCCAUCGCCACCAAGUGCGGCAUCGUCACGCCCGGCAGCGACUUCCUCAUUCUCGAGGGCAAGGAGUUCAACCGGCGCAUCCGCGAUGCGUCCGGCCAGAUUCAGCAGCACCUACUGGACAAGGUGUGGCCGCGCCUGCGGGUGCUGGCACGCUCGUCGCCCACCGACAAGUACACGCUCGUCAAGGGCAUGAUCGACAGCAAGAUUAGCAACCACCGCGAGGUGGUGGCCGUCACCGGAGACGGCACCAACGACGGGCCCGCCCUCAAGAAGGCCGACGUCGGCUUUGCCAUGGGCAUUGCCGGCACUGACGUGGCCAAGGAGGCGUCGGACAUUAUUCUGACUGACGACAACUUCACCAGUAUAGUGAAGGCCGUCAUGUGGGGCCGUAACGUGUAUGAUAGCAUAGCCAAGUUUCUGCAGUUUCAGCUGACUGUGAACGUGGUGGCCGUACUAGUUGCUUUCAUCGGCGCGUGUGCAGUGGAUGAUACGCCUCUCAAGGCGGUACAGAUGCUGUGGGUGAAUCUUAUCAUGGACACGUUCGCGUCACUGGCGCUGGCGACGGAGCCGCCGACGCCCGAGCUGCUGCUGCGCAAACCGUACGGCCGAACCACGCCGCUCAUCUCCCGGACUAUGACGAAAAACAUCCUGGGCCAGUCGGUCUACCAGCUGUCCAUCAUCUUCACACUGCUCUUCGUCGGCGAGCGGCUGCUGGACAUUGACGACGGCCGGUACGCCGAGCCCGGAGACCCGCCCUCGCAGCACUUCACAUUCAUCUUCAACACCUUCGUCAUGAUGACACUCUUCAACGAGAUCAACUCGCGGAAGAUCCACGGACAGCGCAACAUCUUCAAGGGCAUCUUCGCCAACCCGAUCUUCUACUGUAUCUGGCUGGGCACGUUUGUGUCGCAGAUUAUCCUGGUGCAGCUCGGCGGCCGGUUCUUCCAGACGGAGGCGCUCGACCUGGACCAGUGGGGCUGGUGCAUCUUCCUGGGCUGCGGCGUGCUGCCCUGGGGACAGCUGGUCACCUGUAUCCCCACGCGCGCCAUGCCCAAGAUCCUCUCCUGGGGCAGCGGCAGCCCGGAGGAGAUCAUCUCAUCGCCCACCGUGGUCGAUGAGGACAACGGCAUGGGCACCAUGGAGCGACGGAAAACCACCGGCCAGAUCCUCUGGAUCCGCGGCCUGACGCGGCUGCAGACCCAGACCAGCCUACCGGGCGUUGAUCCGCACGAGAAUCCUCCGGAAGUCCUGGCCCGCGCCUACCCGUCCAUCUCCAACCGUCUGAGCCGCAACUCGAUGGGCGGCGCCGCGUACGGCGUCCGCUCGCGGACGUCCACGUCGGCGGCGGCGCUCUCGUCGGGCUCGGAGCCGGCGUCGACGCACUCGACCCUGCAGCGGCCGGCCGGCAGCCAGACGUGGGCGUCCGGCAGCGGUGAGCUCCGCCUGCCGCCCCUGGCCCCCCGCAGCUCGGACACUCUGCCAAAACCCUCCUCAUCCGCCGCCGCCGCCGCCGCAUCGGGUCAGCCGUCACCUGGUGAAGGCGCGGUGUCCAACUACCAGUCCGACUCCGGCGGCCUCGUGACCACCACCAGCUCCGCCAUGUGACGCUCCUGUCCUGCUCCUGUGUCCUGAUCCUGCCUCCGUCGCCGGACUGGGCUCGGCCCGGCCCGGCGCAAAAACAGAUCCGCGUAGUGAACGCCUUCCGCCAGGGCGUUGACGUUUCUCGGCUGGCAGAGGCAGGUAACCCGACGUUGGCGGCAGUGCUGCAGAAGCAGAGUUCCUUCCAGCAGGCCAAGAGGCUGUCGCAGGGCUCGUCACUCGACUAUGCCGACAUGUGUCCGGAUCCGGACGAGCUCAAAAUCCCCGAGAUCGACGUGGACGGUCUGACGUCUCGGAGCCACACGGAGACGGCCGUCUAGCCGGCGGCGGCCGUCCGUCUGUCUGCUGAGCGCGCGGCGCCGCGCCGCGCCCGCCCGUCCCGCUCCAGGGCCGCCCAGACCGCCUCCCUCCCUCCCUGUGCUCUGUCCGAUCCCGCUCCCCGCUCUGUCUCAUUCCCCGCGUCCCGGCCCGUGUCCGCGAGUGCGACUGACUGAUGGGGCCGGCCCCACGGGCGCCGCCCGGCUUGUUGCGUUGGUUCGGUGAGAGCGGUGGUUAUUUUUCUUGAGUUGGUUCCUCAGGGAGUGGACGGGGCCGGUGCCGGGCGCGAGCGACGCGGCCGUCAGACUGUGACCGCGAGCGUGCGCCAGCGCGCGCGCGCACCGCGGCCGCCAAGUGAAUGUGACGCAACGCUGGGCGAGAGAAGACUCGUCUCCGGCAUCUGUACAUACUGCUAAAAGCAACGAAACUUAUUCAGCGUUGUCGUUAGAUGCCUUACAUUUGCGUUUGUCCUGAGCGCGUGCCGCUGGGACGGAGGUGGGUGCCGCCAGCGCCGCCUGGUGUGCCGGCCGCCCGCCGGAGGCUGCUGCACCGCCGGCGCCGCCGCCGCUCUGCGGCCCGCGCCGGCCGGCGUCCCGCUAGCUCGUUGGAUGUGUACAUAAGGAGUGGCCGUGUGGUGCAGUGUGCAGAGAGAGCUGCCCCUGGACGAGAGCCGCGUGGCGCGCCGCCGGACUGAGCGCGCGCCCGGACCGCCCGACCGAGACGGCCGCCGACCGGGGCACGGCGCGCGCCGGCCGCCGACCCGCCGCAGUGUACUACCGAUAUAUAUGCAUACAUAUAUAUCACAUGACCAAGUGAAGUUAGCAGCCACUCUUUAACUAGUUCAGUGUUGAAAGCUUGUGGAAUGACAGUGGUUUUAUCUCAGUCCUCGGAUUUAACAGUCAGCCUGUGCUUGCAUAAAUCGCGACUAAUGGGGUGACAGUUGUUUGUAGUGAUUUUGUUACUGGUGCGAAAAUGUUGCUAGCGGUUGUUCUUUAUUUUUCCUACUAAAUGUCGAUGUGGUGCAUCGCACCGGCUGCCGCGUCCCAUUCUCGCUUUCUCCCUCACGGACAUGUUCUACUAUUCCCUUGUCAUGUCAGCGCAAUCACGGCCGGGUCAGCUCGUGAGAAAUUAUUCGUCUCCGUGUACGAUUAUCUGUACAGCAAUACGUUGAUCGUUACUGGCUGCGGCUACGGCGAAAAUUUAGGCGGCGCCUCGGCGCUGUCGCCUAGUUCUCCGAGCGCGGGCUGUUGUAGGAUCGCUGCCCGUCUUCUAGAGCUGUAUAAAAAGCUGUAUAUCGUCCUAGCUUGUCAGUCUCCAGUCUUAUUGUAUCGUCAGUAUUACAGCAAGCUGUUGAUGAUAGAGACCGCCAACGGUAACUAUUCGCGGACGCUCGAGAGACACUGGUGGUACAGGGUUCUUUUGCGAGUUCUGAGGAGGUUGCUUUGUGUGCGGAAGCAGGCGGCGCCCGUUUUCACCUUGCGGAAUGAUUGGGUCGGUGCGCUCCCAGCGUGUGACGGCUCCGCCCCCGGCCCUGACCUCGGCCGGGUCGAGGGUAGCCCCAUCAAUAGGCAGACUGGUCCCUCGGCCAUCACCCAUGUAUGUGUUUAUUCCUUUCUUUAGUUAUGUGCAUGCUUCGUGCUGGUCGCUGUCGAUUGUUUUCUAUGAAGGGAUGAUUUAGAUGCAUCGCUGCCCGCGAUGAGGGUUGUUGUGUAAAUAAAUCUUAGCGGUGAUACACAAAAUUGUCCGUGAAGUACGUUGUUCGAAUAUAGUGGUGAUCGAUCA